rnacentral:lncRNA from 12 species
AGCCUCAAGGGAAGGAUUCUAACAGUCUAGCAAACAUUGAGAUGACUAAGAACUAACAACCAGAGUCCUGUUACUGCAGUGAGGUUAAGGCUAGUUCUGAGCUCCACGUUUCCUGGUGCUGGAAUCCUCCCUUACCUAGCUAGUGUCACUACUGGAAGAGAGAUGCUUCAUUCCUAUUCCUCUACCCACCCAACAGAUACUGUGAGGUCUUACCUUGGUGAUUCCAGAAUUCUAAAAUAAAUGGAAAGAGCCUCAACUAUCAAACUGACAAUGCAAUAGUUUUCUGAAAUGCUGAAAGAAAAGAAAGGCUUGGAUCAUGAAGAACUCAAAAGUAGGACUGAAAUUUUUUCUCCAAGUAGCAAGUCCUUGAUGAAAGACUUGAUUGGCUCAGCUUUAACCAGAGGCCAUUCCCAGGACCAUUCAAAAAACCAGAGGUGGGGCCAGAUACAGCCACUGGGCAGCUAUUUGAAGACAUAAUUGGAUUUGAGUCUCAUCCAAAGAGUCAGAAAGACUCUUACGGGAAACAGCAGGAGUGUCACGUGAAUACAAGCUUACAAAUGACAACAGCAUUACAGUGGACUCUGGAAUUUUGCCGAGCACUAAGUUGUAUCUGCUGGUAUGUUUUACAAGUAUAGGUCAGUCUUCUCAUGACAAACAACCAACAAUUAUCCUAGACAUCUGGGGAAAUGUCUUUGGGAGGGGCCCACUGUUCUCAUAAAAUGUUCACAUCCAUGACUUCCGUAUUCUGUAUUCAGUUUCCAUCCUAAUCAAUACAUAUGCUUUGCUAGACUGAAUGGUUUAUUAGAGAACCACCAUGGGAUCCACUGUGGAACAGCACAUUUGCUCUAGUUUAUGUCAUCUAGAGAGGUUGUAAAUGGCCUCAGAACACCGCUGCUUUUUCUCUUUGAUACAGUUAAAUCCCUCCUUGUUCCUUGAGUUAAAAUUCAAAGAAAGCUACCCCGACUGACUGAUGUAAGUGGUGUCUGAGGUCAAACAAAGUCAAACAACUUGUUUAGAAUAGACUUCUAAUUAAUCUGGGCCUUAGGAGUGUAACCUUUAUAACUUGACUUCAGAAUCAACGCCUUUUAUAAUACCAGGUGUUCUCCAAACAGUCAAAUGUCAGUUGUCUUACUAUGUGAUCAUAGGGCUCAUAAGGCCCUGGCUGUGCCUUCAUAGACUUUGCAUCAUGCUUACGUCAUCAUUCUUUCUAUCCGUUAUGGUCUCUCAUUAGAUGGUAGUUCCACCCAUUUCUUGGUCAGUUUGGGUUUUUUCCGCUAACCACCAGAGUUUCAUCUUUCUUAGGUUAAUGUCAGGUUUGGGGUGGAUGUACAAUAAGGCAUAGUCAGAUGGACAUAAAUGAAAAGUACUUGCACAAACAACAUAUAUUUAUUAAGCUCUGUAUAGUUAGCUUUUAAACAUAUCUAAGAAAGAAAGAAAUAAUUAACCCAGAAAAAAGGCAUCCUUAGCCUGAGUUAAU